UAUGUGAUCGUCUCUCGCAUAUCAAUAAGCGGAGGAAAAGAAACUAACAAGGAUUCCCCUAGUAACGGCGAGUGAAGCGGGAAGAGCUCAAAUUUGAAUCUUAAAGGGUUUCCCUUUACGAAUUGUAGUUUAAAGAAGUGUUUUCUGUUGAGGUUUUGGUAAAAGUUCUUUGGAAUAGGACAUCAUAGAGGGUGAGAAUCCCGUAUUUGACCUUUACUUUCAACUUUGUGAUACACUUUCAAAGAGUCGGAUUGUUUGGGAAUGCAGUCCAAAAUGGGUGGUAAAUUUCAUCUAAAGCUAAAUAUUGGCGAGAGACCGAUAGCGAACAAGUACCGUGAGGGAAGGAUGAAAAGAACUUUGAAAAGAGAGUUAAACAGUACGUGAAAUUGUCAAAAGGGAAGCGUUUGACACCAGUGUUGUUUUUCUGAAAAUCAAUUAAAGAACUGUUUAUGCUAAGCUGUUUAGACUUUAUCAGCUAACUGUUUAGUUUUGAGCUUUUCUUUAAUGCACUUUUCAGUUAACAAGUCAACAUCAAUUUCUUUUGCUGUAAAAAAGCUUGAGGAAGGUGGCUUGAGAUUCGUCUUAAGUGUUUAUAGCCUCUUGCCUAUGCAGUCGGAGAGAUUGAGGUCUGCAGCGUAGAUCCUUCGGGGCUAAAUGCAUUUGUGCUAAGUUAUAGCAUUUUAUAGACAACUUGUUGACUAUGAUUUGUCUUGUAGUUUACUCGCUUAUGUUAUUUUACCUACGCUUAGGAUGUUGAACGCGCACAGAGUCUC
rnacentral:rRNA from 1 species